AUCGCCUUAGACGAAUAAAUGAGG
rnacentral:miRNA from 1 species